rnacentral:misc_RNA from 1 species
GAUGAAGAACGCAGCGAAAUGCGAUAAGUAAUGUGAAUUGCAGAAUUCAGUGAAUCAUCGAAUCUUUGAACGCACAUUGCGCCCGCCAGUAUUCUGGCGGGCAUGCCUGUUCGAGCGUCAUUUCCACUAUCAGGCCCCCGGGCCUGUGUUGGGGACCUGCGGCUGCCCGCAGGCCCCGAAAUUCAGUGGCGGUCGCGCCGUAGCAACCGAGCGUAGUAACUAAAACGUCUCGCUCUGGCUCGCUGGGCGCGCUCCGGCCGUAAAACACCCCCCCUUUUCGCAAAGGUUGACCUCGGAUCAGGUAGGAAUACCCGCUGAACUUAAGCAUAUCAAUAAGCGGAGGA